GGAGCUAAUACAGGAUAAUAUAUUGAACCGCAUGGUUCAAUAGUGAAAGACGGUUUUGCUGUCACUUAUAGAUGGAUCCGCGCCGCAUUAGCUAGUUGGUAAGGUAACGGCUUACCAAGGCAACGAUGCGUAGCCGACCUGAGAGGGUGAUCGGCCACACUGGAACUGAGACACGGUCCAG
rnacentral:rRNA from 1 species